rnacentral:rRNA from 1 species
AUUGAACGCUGGCGGAAUGCUUUACACAUGCAAGUCGAACGGCAGCACGGGGGCAACCCUGGUGGCGAGUGGCGAACGGGUGAGUAACACAUCGGAACGUGCCCAGUCGUGGGGGAUAACGUAGCGAAAGCUACGCUAAUACCGCAUACGAACUCUGGUUGAAAGCGGGGGACUCGCAAGGGCCUCGCGCGAUUGGAGCGGCCGAUGGCAGAUUAGGUAGUUGGUGGGGUAAAGGCCUACCAAGCCGACGAUCUGUAGCUGGUCUGAGAGGACGACCAGCCACACUGGGACUGAGACACGGUCCAGACACCUACGGGUGGCAGCAGUCGAGAAUUUUUCUCAAUGGGGG